rnacentral:rRNA from 1 species
UGAGUAACCUGCCCUUAACUCUGGGAUAAGCCUAGGGAAACUGGGUCUAAUACCGGAUAUGACUCCUCAUCGCAUGGUGGGGGGUGGAAAGCUUUAUUGUGGUUUUGGAUGGACUCGCGGCCUAUCAGCUUGUUGGUGAGGUAAUGGCUCACCAAGGUGACGACGGGUAGCCGGCCUGAGAGGGUGACCGGCCACACUGGGACUGAGACACGGCCCAGACCUCCUACGGGAGGCAG